GACAGAGGCCUCAAGCGUUAGGCGGAAUCACUGGGCUUAAAGCGUGUGUAGGCGGACUUCUAAGUGCCGUGUGAAAUCCCACGGCUCAACCGUGGAACUGCUGGGCAUACUGGGAGUCUUGGGCCAUUCAGGGGCAACUGGAACAAGCGGUGGAGCGGUGAAAUACGUAGAUAUCGCUUGGAACGCCGAAGGUGAAAACAGGUUGCUGGGGAUGUGCCGACGCUGAGACACGAAAGCCAGGGGAGCAAACGGG
rnacentral:rRNA from 1 species